AUUGAACGCUGGCGGCAGGCCUAACACAUGCAAGUCGAACGAGUGGCGGACGGGUGAGUAAUGUCUGGGAAACUGCCUGAUAGAGGGGGAUAACUACUGGAAACGGUAGCUAAUACCGCAUACUAUCGGAUGUGCCCAGAUGGGAUUAGCUAGUAGGUGGGGUAACGGCUCACCUAGGCGACGAUCCCUAGCUGGUCUGAGAGGAUGACCAGCCACACUGGGACUGAGACACGGUCCAGACUCCUACGGGAGGCAGCAGUGGGGAAUAUUGCACAAUGGGCGCAAGCCUGAUGCAGCCAUGCCGCGUGUAUGAAGAAGGCCUUCGGGUUGUAAAGUACUGUCAGCGGGGAGGCGUUACCCGCAGAAGAAGCAACGGCUAACUCCGUGCCAGCAGCCGCGGUAAUAC
rnacentral:rRNA from 1 species